AGCCGUGGUAGAGCAGUUGGUAGAAUGUCGGGCUCGUAAUCCAAAGGUCACGAGUUAGAUACUCGCCCAGGCAA